UUCUAGAUGAUGGCUAGUGAUCGCGAUACGGCCUUAAGUGUGAUCGCUAUCUGGUCGAAGAAAUCGUGGAAUAAACCAACCGCUUUAAUUCCGCCCCCAUGCAAGUCGGCGACGACGAGUACGAUUUCCCAUUCCGGCGCAUCUUCCAUUGCUCGUCGCUCUUCAACCAAUGGCCUAAUCGUUCCCUCUACAACUCGAGCUUCAGCAAUGCCAACUAUUGCAUGCCAACCAGUUCGAAAUUAUCAAAUCCAACAGUAACUGUUGAUGUUCUUCCUCGGACUGGAUCGAUCGGACCGCUUCCUUCAGGGCUACAUGCUAGAUCAAACGGACCACUUCCUCCAUGGCCGAAGAAGCCUUUCGCCAAUCCAACUUUGUUGCGCAGAUCGGAGUGCUCGGCCCGAUGAUGCGUCUGAUCAUCGACAAGAAACUUCUUGUAUUUAUUCAAGCUAAACCCGCCAAACAGGUCUUGCUCAAACUGGUGGAAAUAGCCGAAAAGCUGUGAUCGACGUUACCAAUUGGAGCAGGUUCUCUUGCAGGGGAUUGAGCGAAUCGUAUUGCAGGUGCGGACGUUGCGAGCGCUCAAGGAAAAAUCCUUGCCUAUCCCAAGACAUUCAGCAGUACCAGAUCGUCGGAAGAGUAUUUCUUCGAACCACAAGCUUCUGGUCUUGAAAAUGGCAAUUCACAGACAAGCUCAAACGACAACACCCAGGAGAACAGUUUGGUUUGGUGUCCUCCGGAGGGAAACAUGUAAGGAACGAAUGGUACAGCAAAUAUCCGGAGGUCACCGAAGACAAACCUAAAUUAUCUUCACCGCGACCCAGCUUCGCCGGCCCCCCUUAGACGUUGCUCGUCGCUCAAAUCCCGAACCGGCCAGUCAUAAACAUAAAAGCCAUCAAGCGUGAAAUUCAUCCGUAAAGGUAGGUGUGAGGCUACCUUAAAUCGCAGCGGCUUUUGCAAAGCGCUACUGGAAGGUAACCCUCAAGGUAACCACUUUACGCUAUAGGCUAUAGGCUUCAACUUGAUAGGAAAUCUAUAAACAAAUGUAAUUAGAAUGGGA